CAUUGAUACCUUCAAAGCUCAAUGUAUCCCAAUUUAAUUUGCCUCCAAAACCAAGAUAUUCAGUAGAAGAUGAGAGACUGGCACGUUUACUAAAUGCACAAAAGAACUCGGAAGGAUGCUCGGCUCCGGAGCAUCCUCGUGUGGAAUAGACCAAUAACUCUCGAGAACCCAGUUCAUAACAUACUUCCAAGAGACGAGGUGUACAUUAAAAACUGGAACAAAGAACCGCUGAAAGAAAAGUGGAGUGGACCCUAUCAGGUACUGCUGACCACCUUUACAGCAGUGAACGUAGCCGGCGUGGACCCCUGGAUUCACUAUACCCGAGUGAAGAAAGUCCAUCCUGGAUCACAGACUGUGUAAACUGUGGAACCAAGACUGCAGAUAAGAUGUGUUUAAUUACUUUGAGAAUGCUAUUAGUAAUUGUGCUAA